ensembl:lncRNA
UCUAAUUAUAUUCAUAACCACGGGUUUAACUGUAACGCCACUUAUUUACAUGUACGCAAAGGGUGCCAUUAUUUCAGUUGUACAUCAGAAUCCAGGCAAUGCAAAUAGUAGAUGUGUCCUUCCAGUGGCAAAGAUGUUAUUGUCAUGUACGCGUAGGACGUCUGACUAGGGCUCAGUACUGCAUUCCACUUACAACCGUCUAGCGUGAUGGACCGCUUCUUGUUAAUUCUCGCUUCAGUAAUGGCACUAAGUGGGAACAACACCGCGUUGACGAACACCACGUCGACGAACACCACGUCGACGAACACCACGUCGACAUACACCACCAUGUCGACGUACACCACCAUGUCGACGACCACCACGUCGAUGACCACCAUGUCGACGGACACCACGUCGACGACCACCAGGUCGAUGACCACCAUGUCGACGGACACCACGUCGACGACCAGCAGGUCGAUGACCACCAUGUCGACGGACACCACGUCGACGACCACCAUGUCGACGGACACCACGUCGACGACCACCAGGUCGAUGAGCACUACGUUGACGAACACCACACCGACGUUCCUGCAGUGUCAGAACGGUGGUCGUGAAACGAACGGGUUCUGCCUCUGCCCCGAUGAUUACACUGGAAACUUCUGCCAGUUAUCAAGCCUCUGUCCUAAAUCACGUGUUUCUGGCUUCACGUUUCCAAAGACGCUUAUUGGACAAGCAGGUUACUCAAUCGAGCAAUGCAGUCAAGGAACCCUGAACGCCGGAUUUCCGAUGGCCACAGCUUUGUGUCUGAAUAACACUUUCAAUUUUAGUACACCUCAACGGCUGGACUGUGAACAGACCCUUACUACCAUCAAUAACAAU